GACAGAGGGUGCAAACGUUGUUCGGAAUUACUGGGCGUAAAGAGCUCGUAGGCGGCUUGUCACGUCGAUUGUGAAAGCCCGAGGCUUAACCUCGGGUCUGCAGUCGAUACGGGCUAGCUAGAGUGUGGUAGGGGAGAUCGGAAUUCCUGGUGUAGCGGUGAAAUGCGCAGAUAUCAGGAGGAACACCGGUGGCGAAGGCGGAUCUCUGGGCCAUUACUGACGCUGAGGAGCGAAAGCGUGGGGAGCGAACAGG
rnacentral:rRNA from 1 species